rnacentral:other from 1 species
CACAGGACACGAUGCUCCUGGGAAGAUGCUCCUUAGAACUGGGCUGAAGCCAGGAGAGCUCUAGUUAGGCACAAGGGCAAUCAGACUGUAGCCACCAGAGGACCCGUCUGUCCCUAAAGCCCACCGGAGGUCCCAGCACAGAAAAGCCUCGGAUUGGAUCCUCCGGUAGUCCUGGAGAGUGUUGGAGGUUGGUUGAGUCCCACACCCUGUGUGACCCCCACGGGAUGGAAGCAACCCUGUACUAAGAAAAAAAAAAAAGCUGAGAAGAAAGAAGUGUUUAGUCGCCAGCCAGAGACUAACGGAUGCUCAGCAGCACUACAUCCACCAUG